UGGAAACCUCAGUCAGUUGAGCACGAGACUCUUAAUCUCAGGACUGUGGGUUCAAGCCCCACAUUGGGCAAAA